GUGUUUUUAUGAUGAGAUUACCAUGCACCACUCUGAGACUAGAAAUAGUUGAUGUGGAUUAUGGUUCACUGAACAACG
rfam:Drosophila persimilis strain MSH-3 cont1.002916, whole genome shotgun sequence.